GAUGAACGCUAGCUACAGGCUUAACACAUGCAAGUCGCGGGGCAGCAUGGGGGUUGCUUGCAAUCCCCGAUGGCGACCGGCGCACGGGUGAGUAACGCGUAUCCAACCUGCCCUUCACCACGGGAUAACCCGGCGAAAGUCGGACUAAUACCGUAUGUUGUCCAUUGACGGCAUCCGAUUUGGACGAAAGGUUUGGCGGUGAAGGAUGGGGAUGCGUCCGAUUAGCUGGACGGCGGGGUGACGGCCCACCGUGGCGACGAUCGGUAGGGGUUCUGAGAGGAAGGUCCCCCACACUGGAACUGAGACACGGUCCAGACUCCUACGGGAGGCAGUAGUGAGGAAUAUUGGUCAAUGGGCGUAAGCCUGAACCAGCCAAGUAGCGUGCAGGAUGACGGCCCUAUGGGUUGUAAACUGCUUUUAUGCGGGGAUAAAGUGGCCCACGUGUGGGUUUUUGCAGGUACCGCAUGAAUAAGGACCGGCUAAUUCCGUG
rnacentral:rRNA from 1 species